rnacentral:rRNA from 1 species
AGAGUUUGAUCAUGGCUCAGGAUGAACGCUAGCGGCAGGCUUAACACAUGCAAGUCGAGGGGCAGCGGGGUGUAGCAAUACAUCGCCGGCGACCGGCGCACGGGUGCGUAACACGUAUGGAACCUGCCCUUUACUGGGAGAUAGCCCUCCGAAAGGAGGAUUAAUAUCCCAUAACAAACGAGGUGGCAUCACCUUGUUUUGAAAGCUCCGGCGGUAAAGGAUGGCCAUGCGCACGAUUAGCUAGUUGGUGAGGUAACGGCUCACCAAGGCUACGAUCGUUAGGGGGCCUGAGAGGGUUAUCCCCCACACUGGUACUGAGACACGGACCAGACUCCUACGGGAGGCAGCAGUGAGGAAUAUUGCGCAAUGGAGGCAACUCUGACGCAGCCAUGCCGCGUGCAGGAAGAAGGCGCUACGCGUUGUAAACUGCUUUUAACCGGGAAGAAACCCCUUUACGUGUAAAGGGUUGACGGUACCGGAGGAAUAAGCACCGGCUAACUUCGUGCCAGCAGCCGCGGUAAUACGAAGGGUGCAAGCGUUAUCCGGAUUCAUUGGGUUUAAAGGGUGCGUAGGUGGGGCGUUAAGUCAGUGGUGAAAUCCUGCAGCUCAACUGUAGACUUGCCAUUGAUACUGGCGCUCUUGAGUGCGCUUGAAGUAGGCGGAAUGUGCCGUGUAGCGGUGAAAUGCUUAGAUAUGGCACAGAACACCAAUUGCGAAGGCAGCUUACUAAGGCGAUACUGACACUGAGGCACGAAAGCGUGGGGAUCGAACAGGAUUAGAUACCCUGGUAGU